rnacentral:misc_RNA from 1 species
GAUGAAGAACGUAGCGAAAUGCGAUACGUAAUGUGAAUUGCAGAAUUCAGUGAACCAUCGAGUCUUUGAACGCACAUUGCGCCCCCUGGUAUUCCGGGGGGCAUGCCUGUCCGAGCGUCAUUGCUGCCCUCAAGCACGGCUUGUGUGUUGGGCCUCCGUCCUCCUCCCGGGGGACGGGCCCGAAAGGCAGCGGCGGCACCGCGUCCGGUCCUCGAGCGUAUGGGGCUUCGUCACCCGCUCUUGUAGGCCCGGCCGGCGCUUGCCGACACAUCAAUCUUUUUUCCAGGUUGACCUCGGAUCAGGUAGGGAUACCCGCUGAACUUAAGCAUAUCAAUAAGCGGAGGA